rnacentral:rRNA from 1 species
CGCCUCUUUAUCAAAAACAUCGCCUCCUGCAACUAGACUGAGUAUAGGAGGUCCAGCCUGCCCAGUGACUACGGGUUCAACGGCCGCGGUAUCUUGACCGUGCAAAGGUAGCGCAAUCACUUGUCUCUUAAAUAGAGACCUGUAUGAAUGGCUAGACGAGGGCUUAACUGUCUCCCCCCUCCAGUCAGUGAAAUUGAUCUAUCCGUGCAGAAGCGGGUAUAAAUAUACAAGACGAGAAGACCCUUUGGAGCUUAAGGUACAAAAUUCAACCACGUUAAACAACCCCAUAAAAGGCAAGAACUUAGUAGCAAUGAAAUUUUACCUUCGGUUGGGGCGACCGCGGAGGAAAAACAAGCCUCCGAGUGGACUGGGCCAAACCCCUGAAGCCAAAAGAAACAUCUAGAAGCCGCAGAAUAUCUGACCAAAAAUGAUCCGGCUAAAAGCCGAUCAACGAACCAAGUUACCCAAGGGAUAACAGCGCAAUCCCCUCCCAGAGCCCGUAUCGACGAGGGGGUUUACGACCUCGAUGUUGGAUCAGGACAUCCUAAUGGUGCAGCCGCUAUUAAGGGUUCGUUUGUUCAACGAUUAAAGUCCUACGUGAUCUGAGUUCAGACCGG